CUCUAAGCAUAUAUACCUACAAAGAAUAAGCCUCAAAUGGAGUUCCCCAAAUUUUUAAUUGUCUUGUUUCUCUUACUUGUUCCAUUUUCAACUGCAUCAAAUCCUCUUGGUGCCACAAAUGAUGCAGCAAAGCCAUUUUGCUUCAAGCAGUGUACACCUAAGUUUACAGAGGGGCAAUGCAACCUUGAAUGUUUAUGGCAAGAUUUUGAAUAUGGAAAAUGUGAAUUACAUAACAAAAUUCCUAGUUGUUGUUGUCACGGAGCCUCUAGUGUAUGAAAUAUCCAUAUUUAGCAUAACAAUAAUAAUAAAAUAUAUGAGGUAAUGGAUGGAAUUUAUUUUCCCUUACUUUAAUUCAA